GACGAACGCUGGCGGCGUGCUUAACACAUGCAAGUCGAACGGAAAGGCCCUGCUUUUGUGGGGUGCUCGAGUGGCGAACGGGUGAGUAACACGUGAGUAACCUGCCCUUGACUUUGGGAUAACUUCAGGAAACUGGGGCUAAUACCGGAUAGGAGCUCCUGCUGCAUGGUGGGGGUUGGAAAGUUUCGGCGGUUGGGGAUGGACUCGCGGCUUAUCAGCUUGUUGGUGGGGUAGUGGCUUACCAAGGCUUUGACGGGUAGCCGGCCUGAGAGGGUGACCGGCGACAAUGGGACUGAGAUACGGCCCAGACUCCUACGGUAGGCAGCAGUGGGGAAUAUUGCACAAUGGGCGGAAGCCUGAUGCAGCAACGCCGCGUGCGGGAUGACGGCCUUCGGGUUGUAAACCGCUUUCGACUGUGACGAAGCGUGAGUGACGGUAAUGGGUAAAGAAGCACCGGCUAACUACGUG
rnacentral:rRNA from 1 species